GUCGGGAAUUUUGGGCAAUGGGCGAAAGCCUGACCCAGCAACGCCGCGUGAAGGAUGAAGUAUUUCGGUAUGUAAACUUCGUAAGAAUAGGAAGAAUAAAUGACGGUACUAUUUGUAAGGUCCGGCUAACUACGUGCCAGCAGCCGCGGUAAUACGUAGGGACCAAGCGUUGUUCGGAUUUACUGGGCGUAAAGGGCGCGUAGGCGGCGUGGUAAGUCAGCUGUGAAAUCUCCGAGCUUAACUCGGAACGGUCAGCUGAUACUGCUGUGCUAGAGUACAGAAAGGGCAAUCGGAAUUCUUGGUGUAGCGGUGAAAUGCGUAGAUAUCAAGAGGAACACCUGAGGCGAAGGCGGGUUGCUAGGCUGAUACUGACGCUGAGGCGCGAAAGCUAGGGUAGCAAACGGGAUUAGAUACCCUGGUAGUCC
rnacentral:rRNA from 1 species